rfam:Capsicum annuum cultivar Zunla-1 chromosome 12, whole genome shotgun sequence
UAUUGGUGCUGCAGACAAUUUCUAAUAAGAGUCUUGAAUCUCUCCCAUGGAUGAUAGAAAUUAUUAUCUGUAUUUUGUUUGAAACUCAAGAUCUUACUCCUCAACCA